UUAAAAUUAAAAUAAUCAUCUUUUUAUAUAUAAAAUUAAAAUUAAAAUAAACUAAAAAGUGAAUAUAAUCAUUAAUCUCCCCAUUUUUAAUAGUUAAUUCAUUAAAUGGCGGAUUGUAAUCUGAACCGUUGAUUAGAUCUCAUCUAAUGGUCUAGAUUGAUCCAUCUAUGCUUCUUCCUCUAUCUCCAUGCUUCAUCUCCAUUGGUCAAUAUUUCUCACACUUGGAUUGCUAUCUCCAUUGUUCAUUAUCUCUAAUCCAAAGGUGCACAGUCUUAGUCACUUUAUUUAUUUUUAAUGUACUUUUCUCAUCUUCUCUUCUCCUCUCGCCGACAGGUUUUUACUUUUCUUACUUCAACCCAUUUUCAACAAAUCGAAGAAGAAGAACUGUUGGAGAAGAACACGAUGGUCUCCCAUUGAGGAAACCCCGCCUCUGUCGCUGUUGUGAAGGAAGCACUGUGACUCAUCUCUACUCUGUGACGUCUCCUUCCUUCACGGCAAGCACUCAUCUCAAAUGUUUGCUCUUGCUGAAAUCAAUUUGUGGUUUGGUUGAUGACAGAGGAAGCUAGUGCCCUCGUCUUCUCCUCUCUGCUCCUCCAACAAGACGAAAGAGAAAGAAGCAAACAAGAAGAGACAUCACCGUAACUUGCUCAGAUCAGGUUGGCCAGAGAGGAUGAAGAAGAAUACGCCGUGUAGGUGGUUGAGGUGGUGAAGGAAGAUGAAGAAGCUUAAUGGACGUGGUGUUGAUGGCGGCUGAGUUAGAUUUUUUGUAGGGUUAGAUUUUUUUUUGUUUAUCUGGUUUAGUGUAAACCUAAACCAAUUUGUAACUGUAAACCAAUGUAAUUGUAAACCAAUGUAAUUGUAAACCAAAAUUCAAUUUAUAAAAUUAAAUACCAAUUUAUUAUUUUUAGUUAA